rnacentral:rRNA from 1 species
GGGAGGCAGCAGUAGGGAAUCUUCCACAAUGGACGCAAGUCUGAUGGAGCAACGCCGCGUGAGUGAAGAAGGUUUUCGGAUCGUAAAGCUCUGUUGUUGGUGAAGAAGGAUAGAGGUAGUAACUGGCCUUUAUUUGACGGUAAUCAACCAGAAAGUCACGGCUAACUACGUGCCAGCAGCCGCGGUAAUACGUAGGUGGCAAGCGUUGUCCGGAUUUAUUGGGCGUAAAGCGAGCGCAGGCGGAAGAAUAAGUCUGAUGUGAAAGCCCUCGGCUUAACCGAGGAACUGCAUCGGAAACUGUUUUUCUUGAGUGCAGAAGAGGAGAGUGGAACUCCAUGUGUAGCGGUGGAAUGCGUAGAUAUAUGGAAGAACACCAGUGGCGAAGGCGGCUCUCUGGUCUGCAACUGACGCUGAGGCUCGAAAGCAUGGGUAGCGAACAGGAUUAGAUACCCUGGUAGUCCAUGCCGUAAACGAUGAGUGCUAAGUGUUGGGAGGUUUCCGCCUCUCAGUGCUGCAGCUAACGCAUUAAGCACUCCGCCUGGGGAGUACGACCGCAAGCUUGAAACUCAA